rnacentral:misc_RNA from 1 species
AAACACACAUUAGUUGAUAAAUAAAAAUAAAAAAAAAAAAAUCACACGAGAGAGUGUACACUCCUAUCCACUCCCAUCAUCAUCAUCAUCAUCAUUUUCAUCAUCUUUACAACCUCCUGUCCUACCUCCUAGUGCGAUACCUCAGUAAAAAAUGGUUGUGCCGGUGAUAAUUUUUUUUUAGGUUAAAUAAUUGUGUAAAUAAUAUUUUGUUAAUGUUAACUAGUUGCUCAUUGCUCUAGUCAGUAUAUUAAAUAAAUAAAUAAAUAAUUAAAAUGGACAAUAGAAUAAUGAUAUGUGAUCCAGAUGAAGAAGACAGAAACAAUGGUAUAUUUGAUGAUAUUGAACCAGAUCAAUGGCUAAAUGAUAAUCAAGAUUAUGAUUUAGAUAUCAAUACAUUUUUUCAUCGGGUGGAAUCUGAUCAAAUAAUAUAUGAAGAAAAGAGAAAAAAAUUCAAAUUAAUUGGUAAAUAUGUUAUGGGUGAUUUACUUGGUGAAGGAAGUUAUGGCAAAGUCAAAGAAGUACUUGACUCGGAAACAUUAUAUCGUAGAGCUGUCAAAAUAUUAAAAAAAAAAAAAUUACGUAGGAUACCAAAUGGUGAACAAAAUGUACAAAAUGAAAUUAGAUUACACAAAAAUCUUAAACAUCGAAAUGUCAUUGAGCUUGUUGAUGUAUUUUACAAUGAAGAAAAAGAAAAAAUGUAUCUUGUUAUGGAAUUUUGUAGUGCUGGUCUUCAGGACAUGUUGGAAAGUACACCAAAUAAAAAAUUUCCAAUUUGGCAAGCACAUGAAUAUUUUACACAAUUAAUUGAAGGUCUUGAGUAUCUUCAUAGUAAAGGUAUUAUUCAUAAAGAUAUUAAACCAGGAAAUUUACUAUUAACACUUGGUGGUACAUUAAAAAUAAGUGAUUUUGGUGUUGCUGAGGCCUUGGAUCAUUUUGCUGUUGAUGACACAUGUACAAUGGGACAGGGAUCGCCAGCAUUUCAACCACCAGAAAUAGCUAAUGGUUGUGAAACAUUUGCUGGUUUUAAAGUUGACAUUUGGAGUAGUGGAGUUACCUUAUAUAAUAUUACAACUGGAUUGUAUCCAUUUGAAGGUGAUAGUAUUUAUAAGUUGUAUGAAAAUAUUGGAAGAGGUGAUUAUACUAUACCUGAUAGUGUUGAUGAAUCAUUGUCAUCAUUACUUAGAGGAAUGCUACAAAAAGAACCAAAUGAUAGAUUUACAUUACAAGAAGUACGACAUCAUUCAUGGACAAUUUGUCUUCCAGAAAGAACAAAUGAUAAAGUUGCAAUUCCACCAUUGAAAGGUAGUACUUGUCAUCGAAUGACUGUGCUUCCUUAUUUACUUGAAUUUUAUUAUGGAUGUGAUAAUGAUCCAACGUAUUACACUGAAAGACAGCUAAAUGAUGAAAAAAAAAAUAAGAAAUCUAGUCGGUCAUUAUCAAACCGUCUACUUGUAUUCUUGUCAAAACCAUGCAUCAUACUGUAAUUAUUUAAAAUAGCCACUAUUGUGUAUUAUUUUUUAUUUCAAGGAUUCGAAAAACAUCUGGAAUUAAGGCUACAAGAUUUGGACUUGAAUGGUCUUGAACAAAUAAGCACAUCGAGUAAUGGUAACACAACAAAAACACUUCGUACAAAACCACGUUGGAGAAAACCAGUAUCACG